AGUGAACGCUGGCGGUAGGCCUAACACAUGCAAGUCGAACGGCAGCACAGUAAGAGCUUGCUCUUACGGGUGGCGAGUGGCGGACGGGUGAGGAAUACAUCGGAAUCUACUUUUUCGUGGGGGAUAACGUAGGGAAACUUACGCUAAUACCGCAUACGACCUACGGGUGAAAGCAGGGGAUCUUCGGACCUUGCGCGACUGAAUGAGCCGAUGUCGGAUUAGCUAGUUGGCGGGGUAAAGGCCCACCAAGGCGACGAUCCGUAGCUGGUCUGAGAGGAUGAUCAGCCACACUGGAACUGAGACACGGUCCAGACUCCUACGGGAGGCAGCAGUGGGGAAUAUUGGACAAUGGGCGCAAGCCUGAUCCAGCCAUACCGCGUGAGUGAAGAAGGCCUUCGGGUCGUAAAGCCCUGUUGUUGGGAAAGAAAAGCAGCAGGUUAAUACCCCGCUGUUCUGACGGUACCCAAAGAAUAAGCACCGGCUAACUUCGUG
rnacentral:rRNA from 1 species